rnacentral:rRNA from 1 species
CAGCAGCCACGGGAAUACGUAGGGUGCAAGCGUUGUCCGGAAUUAUUGGGCGUAAAGAGCUCGUAGGCGGUUUGUCGCGUCUGCUGUGAAAUCCCGAGGCUCAACCUCGGGCUUGCAGUGGGUACGGGCAGACUAGAGUGCGGUAGGGGAGAUUGGAAUUCCUGGUGUAGCGGUGGAAUGCGCAGAUAUCAGGAGGAACACCGAUGGCGAAGGCAGAUCUCUGGGCCGUAACUGACGCUGAGGAGCGAAAGCGUGGGGAGCGAACAGGAUUAGAUACCCGUGUAGUCCCUGUCUCUUAUAC